CCUCUUAUUUCUUAAAUGGGAAUAACAAUGCCCAUCUGGAAGGAUGUUUAGGAGGCUUAAAUGCAGGGUCUGGCACAGGCCAGGAGCCAGAUAAACCUGAGUUCCCUUCCACAGCCUUCUCUCUCUUCCCUCCAUCAUGCCAGCUUCCCCCAAGCAUGGCACACCAGAAUUCAACUUCUCCCCUGCCAGGAGAGCAAUUUCCAGAAGUUCCAGGUAACAUAUCAGCUCCCAAGCCAGGGCCAGGCCACGGUCUCUUCUGAGAGGAGGAAAUCUUCAGGGCCAGGAGCGGUGGCUUACACCUUUAAUCCCAGCAAUUUGAGAGGCUGAGGCAGGAAGAUUGCUUGGGUGUGGUGGCUCUCACCUGUGGUCCUGGCUACUCCUCUGGUGGCUGAGGUGCGAGGAACACCUGAGUCCAGGGAAGUCGAGGCUGUAUGUGAGCCAUGAUCGCACCACUGCAGUCCAACCUGGAUGAAAGAGUAAGACCCUGUCUCUUAAAAAAAUGUUAUUUACUUUUUUUUUUGAGAUGGAGUCUCACUCUGUCGCCCAGGCUAGAGUGCAGUGGCACGAUCUCGGCUCACUGCAACCUCUGCCUCCCGGGUUCAAGCAAUUCUCUGCCUCAGCCUCCUGAGCAGCUGGGAUUACAGGCACUCGCCACCACGCCCAGCUAAUUUUUUAUUUUUAGUAGAGACGGGGUUUCGCCGUCUUGGCCAGGUGGGUCUUGAACGCCUGACCUUGUGAUUCAUCUGCCUUGGCCUCCCAAAGUACUGGGAUUAUAGGUGUGAGCCACCACACCUGGCCAAAAAAAUUUUUUAAUUAAAAAAAUUUUAUGUCUGGUCAGGACCUAGUUAAAGUUAAAAAACUUUCUUUUUUUUAAUUUUAAAGAGAGGGCCGGGUGCAGUGGCUCACACCUGUAAUCCCAGCACUUUGGGAGGCCGAGGCGGGUGGAUCACGAGGUCAGGAGAUCGAGACCAUCCUGGCUAACACGGUGAAACCCCGUCUCUACUAAAAAUACAACAAAAAUUAGCCAGGCGUGGCGGCCGGUGUCUGUAGUCCAGCUACUUCGGGAGGCUGAGGCAGGAGAAUGGCAUGAACCCAGAAGGCGGAGCUAGCAGUGAGCCAAGAUAGCGCCACUGCACUCCAGCCUGGGCGACAGAGCGAGACUCCAUCUCAAAAAAAAAAGAAAAUUUAAAGAGAGAAAGAAAGGAUCUUCAGCAUCCAUGUGUUCAUGUUCAACUCAUGUUGGCUGCUUCCAAGUCCAUCGCUAUGGCUGGUAACAUUGUUUUGCCUACACAGAUGGAAGGCACCUUUUAAUUCACCUUUGAACACUCCUUCCUCUUCCAGGAAUCCAGAGGCCUGAAAGGGAGUCUGCUGGGCCUCCAGUCCCUAAGGACCUGCUGUCUAGGCUAGCAGGCAAAGCAUCACCAUGUAAUCUCAGCAGAUAAAGCCACCAUGAAAUGAGCCCAUUGCAGCAAGGGAACGACACAUGCUCCCAGAUUCCACCUGGAUUAGCUGCAUGUCCUCCAAAAGCCCUGAAGCUCACAUAUCUGCCUCUUGUCCUCACACCCACCCACUCCCCACAUUCCUUUGCUAUGAGACAACUGGUAGUUCUUCUGGCCUGAUCAUUCCCAUUGCCUUGCCGCAAGGGGUACCAAACCUGGCUUAAAUAUUGUAGAAUAUUUGGUUCCACCAGGAAGCUCUCAGUGUAAACAACUUGUCAGUUAUUGGGGUUGAUUUCUUUGCUCAGAGGCAGUUGCGUGACACUUAGGAUUUUCAUCCUGCCCUAGAAACCACAAUACAUGAAGGAAGGAAGCCAUGAGCAGAAAAAGGUAAUGAAGGAGCUGUCCAGUUGGGACUGAAAGGGCAGGCAUCUGGGGAUGCUGAUGUAUGGUGGAAGGGGUGUUUCAACUGACCCCAAGGAGAAUCAGGGGUGUGGUCAAGGCCUUCAGCACAACCUAGAUUCCCCUUCUCAGCAUCCUGGCUUCCUCCUAGACUCCAGCUUCUCAAUCCAGACCCAAUCUGUCCUGCACAUACCGCCCCGCUGAUCUUGACCGCACGCCACACUCACCAUGUGCCUCCCCUACUGAACAGCUCCCAACCUCCCCAGCACGUGGAGCCGGAGUUCCUCCCUGGGUGUCCUACAUCAAGCACAUGGCAGCAUGUCUUCACCCUUUGUAUCCUUGGUCCUCCUGUAAGCCCCAGCCCAAGUUCUGUUCCGUCCAGGGGACCCAUCCUGACUGCUCAAUUCUGAAGUAGAGUCCAUGCCACACAGUCUCACUUUCAUUGUUUGCUGUUAUUUGAUCACUGUGAAUCUUUCUCCCAUAAGAACAUAAGUUCCUUGAGAUCAGGGAUCUCAAAGGUUUAUUAAAAGCACACAAGGAUACUCAAAAUUCAUUUUCCUCUGUUAGCUUGUGACAAGAAAAGCAGACCCAUUUCUACUCCAAAGGCCUUGAUGAAUAUCUUCAGGGUUGGCAUGUGGUAAAGGGCAGUGCUAGAAGGGUAGGCAGGAGCCAGAUCACAAAGGGCCAGGUGUGUACUGCCCAGGAGUCUGGGCCUGACCUGAGGCAGUGGGGAGGCAGCAGCGGCACCUGACCAGCGGGGUGCAGGAAGGGCUGGAGGCGGCCCAGGGUGGAAGCUGGGCCUUGGUUUGGUGGCUUCUGCCUCCCACCCAGCAGCAUCCACAGCAGCCUUGAAGGGCUCAUGGCUGCCACAAAAGAGUGCACAUUUCAGACCCAAAUGUUCUAUUCUCUGAAACUUCCAGAAUUCUAUAAAAAAUCAUCAGGGAGGCUAGAAUCUUCUCUGAGAAACAUUUCUCCCCAAGAUGAAGGUAACUUCAAGUGCUUGGACCCCUCGUGGGGAAAGCAGUGAUUGUCACUCCCCACUCAGCACCUCCUUGGCAGAUGGGGCCAGCUAAAUGCAGCACCUGCUCCUCUUAGCUCCAGUCUGGUGCAGGGAACAGCUGGGCUCUUUAGGCCCAGCCCAGACCCAUUCAUCCAGACCCCCCGCUUCAAAAUGGGCGGCAGGGAUGCAGGACUGCUGUGGGUAGGAGAUGGAGAGACGAACCCCCAGGGACAGGGGCCUCCAGCUGGCCUGAGUCCACAGGGAUAUAUGUUCCCUUCUAGCCAACAAGGCGCAGUCCUGCUGAGCAGCCACAGCUGUUUUCAGAGCUCUGGGACAGUGGCCUGUGAACUUCCCUGCUCCCAUGGCCUUUUCACACAGGCACUUUGUGGUUGAUCUCCCUGGGUGACUGCCUUCCCUAAAAUCCCUGGCAUAGAUCCUCGCCCACGAUGAACACUCAGAAAAUGCUAUCAGUUUCUGUUAAAAUUGGGAAGCGGCUGGGCGCGGUGGCUCACGCCUGUAAUCCCAGCACUUUGGGAGGCCAUGGCCAGCAGAUCACUUGAGGUCAGGAGUUCAACAUUAGUCUGGCCAACAUGGCAAAACCCAUCUCUACAAAUAAUACAAAAAUAAGCUGGGCGUGGUGGCGGGCACCCGUAAUCCCAGCUACUCAGGAGACUGACGAGGGAGAAUGGCUUGAGCUGUGAUCGCGCCACUGCACUCCAGCCUUGGGGACAGAGCAAGACUCCGUCUCAAAAAAUAAAUAAAAAUAAAAUUGGGAAGCCUCACCAUUUACUAGUGGGUUGCUGAGGGAGAGGAAGGGCAAUGUGGACAAGAAGGAAUUUGGAAACCCUGUAAAUGGACUUUUGGGACCGUCUCCGGGUUUCAGUUACCCAGGUUCUCCCCAUGCCCCAUCCCCAAACCAGCCAAAGAAGUUGGUUCUUGAUGCUACCAUUUUAGUUAUAGUUUAUUUCAUACCCUAAGGCAAUUUUAUCCCAAAGGGUCACCUGGUGAAGUCAA
rnacentral:lncRNA from 1 species